GAUGAACGCUGGCGGCGUGCCUAAUACAUGCAAGUCGAGCGAACGGACGAGAAGCUUGCUGCUUGGAUGUUAGCGGCGCACGGGUGUGUAACACGUGUAUAACCUACCUAUAAGACUGGUAUAACUUCGGGAAACCGGAGCUAAUACCGGAUGAUAUUUUGAACCGCAUGGUUCAAAAGUGAAAUACGGUCUUGCUGUCUCGUAUAGAUGGAUCCGCGCUGCAUUAGCUGGUUGGUAAGUUAACGGCCUACCAAGGCAACGAUGCAUAGCCGACCUGAGAGACGGAUCGGCCGCAUGAGAGCUGAGACGCCGACCAGACUACUACGGGAGGCAGCAGAAGGGAAUCGGCCGCAGUGGGCGGGAGCAUGGCGGAACAACGCCGCGUGAGUGAUGAAGGUCUUCGGAUCGUAAAACCCUGUUAUUAGUGAUGAACAUAUGUGUAAGGAACUGAGCACAGCUUGACGGUACCUGAUCAAAAAGCCACGGCUAACUACGUG
rnacentral:rRNA from 1 species